GGCCUCAGCAUCCAGAGCAGCUCUUGGCGUGCUCCUUGCAGGAGGAUCACCUCGUCUGAGUUGUUCUCAGAUUACGGCCGGUGUCCUUUUGUUUCUCUAUUUUCUUGCACAGUCCUUGGACUGGUGCAAGUGUCCUGUUUUACCCCUUUUUACUUGCACAGUCUCAGGACUUGUGCAAGUGUCCUGUUUUUCCCCUCUUUACUUGCACAGUCUCAGGACUUGUGCAAGUGUCCUGUUUUACCCCCUUUUUACUUGCACAGUCUCAGGACUUGUGCAAGUGUCCUGUUUUUCCCCUUUUUACUUGCACAGUCUCAGGACUUGUGCAAGUGUCCUGUUUUUCCCCUCUUUACUUGCACAGUCUCAGGACUUGUGCAAGUGUCCUGUUUUACCCCUUUUUUACUUGCACAGUCUCAGGACUUGUGCAAGUGUCCUGUUUUUCCCCUUUUUACUUGCACAGUCUCAGGACUUGUGCAAGUGUCCUGUUUUUCCCCUUUUUACUUGCACAGUCUCAGGACUUGUGCAAGUGUCCUGUUUUACCCCUUCUUUACUUGCACAGUCUCAGGACUUGUGCAAGUGGGGUUUUUUUUCCAUUUUUGUUUCCUGACCUACGGACUCGAGCAGCCCUGCUCAAAGGAUGGAGCGAGUCCGUAGAGCAGUCAGCAGCGCCUUUUCAUUGGCGGCUUCUCGGAAAGCUUUUCUGCGUUUGGCUGCUCGCCUCAGAGGUGGAAGGAGUCAAGCGCGCGCUUCGGUCCCGCGAGGAGAGGAUCUUGCCAGUCAGGACUCCCGGGCCCAGGCAGGAAAGGCGGAGCGGCAGGAGAGCACGGACGGAGUGCACGGCGCCCAGGA